GCCUGCGGUGAUAGCUCGCUAAAUGCACCAGUUCCAAAUGGAUCACUAAAGUGAAGCAACGUUGCGCGUGAUUUUUAACUUGGUGGGUGACCAUCUAGGUAAUUUUCUUGACUUGAAUACC
rnacentral:rRNA from 1 species